rnacentral:rRNA from 1 species
GACGAACGCUGGCGGCGUGCCUAGUACAUGCAAGUCGAGCGGACAGAAGGGAGCUUGCUCCCGGAAGUUAGCGGCGGACGGGUGAGUAACACGUGGGCAACCUACCCUGUAGAUCGGGAUAACAUCGAGAAAUCGGUGCUAAUACCGGAUAAUCAUUUGAAGUGCAUGCUUCGAAUGUAAAAGAUGGCUCCGGCUAUCACUACGGGAUGGGCCCGCGGCGCAUUAGCUAGUUGGUAAGGUAAUGGCUUACCAAGGCAACGAUGCGUAGCCGACCUGAGAGGGUGAUCGGCCACACUGGGACUGAGACACGGCCCAGACUCCUACGGGAGGCAGCAGUAGGGGAUCUUCCGCAAUGGACGAAAGUCUGACGGAGCAACGCCGCGUGAGUGAUGAAGGUUUUCGGAUCGUAAAGCUCUGUUGUUAAGGAAGAACAAGUGCCGUUUGAAUAAGGCGGCACCUUGACGGUACCUAACCAGAAAGCCACGGCUAACUACGUGCCAGCCGCCGCCGUAACAC